rnacentral:pre_miRNA from 1 species
AACCUUCGCAGACUGGAGGCCCCCAGGCUCUUCGAAAGGCUCACCCUGAAGCACAACUAGGAGG